rnacentral:rRNA from 2 species
UUGCUCCCUGAUGUUAGCGGCGGACGGGUGAGUAACACGUGGGUAACCUGCCUGUAAGACUGGGAUAACUCCGGGAAACCGGGGCUAAUACCGGAUGGUUGUUUGAACCGCAUGGUUCAAACAUAAAAGGUGGCUUUGGCUACCACUUACAGAUGGACCCGCGGCGCAUUAGCUAGUUGGUGAGGUAACGGCUCACCAAGGCAACGAUGCGUAGCCGACCUGAGAGGGUGAUCGGCCACACUGGGACUGAGACACGGCCCAGACUCCUACGGGAGGCAGCAGUAGGGAAUCUUCCGCAAUGGACGAAAGUCUGACGGAGCAACGCCGCGUGAGUGAUGAAGGUUUUCGGAUCGUAAAGCUCUGUUGUUAGGGAAGAACAAGUACCGUUCGAAUAGGGCGGUACCUUGACGGUACCUAACCAGAAAGCCACGGCUAACUACGUGCCAGCAGCCGCGGUAAUACGUAGGUGGCAAGCGUUGUCCGGAAUUAUUGGGCGUAAAGGGCUCGCAGGCGGUUUCUUAAGUCUGAUGUGAAAGCCCCCGGCUCAACCGGGGAGGGUCAUUGGAAACUGGGGAACUUGAGUGCAGAAGAGGAGAGUGGAAUUCCACGUGUAGCGGUGAAAUGCGUAGAGAUGUGGAGGAACACCAGUGGCGAAGGCGACUCUCUGGUCUGUAACUGACGCUGAGGAGCGAAAGCGUGGGGAGCGAACAGGAUUAGAUACC